GUCCCUUCGGGGACAUCCAAUAAAAUUGGAAGGAUACAGAGUAGAUUAACAUGGACCCUGCGCAAAGAUGUCACACACAAAUCAAGAUAUUGUCCAAAUUUUU
rnacentral:snRNA from 1 species